CAAAGGUUCUGCUGGUAGGAUAAAACCCAAGCACCUUGUUAUGACAUGGGGCCUCCUGGAACCUGCCCUUUGCCCACCUCUUCAGCAUCAUGGCUGAACUGCUUAUGCUUUCCAGCACCGUUCCCAUUGUGCACUCAACAGAGAGGAAGAAAAUGCUCAUUUUGAAGAGAACUUUUAUGUUGUCUGCUGUGGAGCAUCCCAACAGCAUAGCUUCUAUGAAGACAGUGUUGGAAGAGCUAUUCUCUAGACUUUUGCAUCUACAGGGUCUUUCUGGACUCAUAGCUUCACAAUACACAGAUCACAGGACAGUCAGGAUGAGGGCUGGAAAAACUACUGGAGGUAGAGUCAGCACACCUGUGUUCCAGGCCUGCUGUGACACUUGCUAGCUGUGGGACCCUGGGUAAAUUUCCUGGUUUCUGUAUUCACAAAGUGGGAAAAUGCCAUCUAAUUGCCACAGGGUGUGUGAUGAGCACAUAAAAGUAAUAAUGAUAUUGAUGAUGAUCAUGAUGGCUAACAUUUAUUGAGCACUUACCAGCAAGGCAAUGGCAAUAAAG
rnacentral:lncRNA from 1 species